AUUAGUCUGUCCAAAAUACAUAAUAAGGAUAAUGUACCACUCCGACCCACCGUUAGUACUCCUGGGUCACCAACAUAUGACGUAGCUAAGUAUCAUAUCAGAUUGCUCCAACCUCAUGUUGGAAACACCCCAACCUCUUGGUGUAGAAGGUGGACUGGUCAGUUUGACGUAGGGUCACUUUUCUCUAAAGUUCCUGUCAAUGAUUCCUUAAACAAGAUAUCACAAAUAUUCCCUCCACAUAUAGUGGAUCAGUGCACGUACGGAAAAGUGCCUUACUGAAGGCUAUUUCGUUUGGAACAACAAACUGGUAAAGCUUUUCUUCCAUAGACAUGUAAAGUUACCGAUAGAAUUGGAAAAAUCUUAUUAAAACAUAACACCAUACUGUUUUUAUACCAACAAGAAAGAUUCAAUGCAGUCUCAGAUCUGCCAAAGAUAGGAGAGACCAUCAAACAGCUUCUGGGAUACACCGCAUAUCAUACUCUUGCGGAAAAGAGUAUGAUAUGCGGUACCACAAAACGUACAAAUAGGGACUAGGACUAAGGAGCACAAACGAAACUGCAUCUUAGGACAAUCAGACAAGUCUGCUGUAGCUAAACGUGCACUCUUAUGAGGAAAUCAUAAGAUAAAAUUCCAAGAUACACAAUGCCUCGACAACCGGACGUCAUAAGAGAAUGAUUAGGGAAGCAAUUGAAAUCCCUAAACACGAAAACGGAUAAAAUAUGAACAGCAGUGAUAGGAAUCAAAUCAGACCUCUGAAGAUACUAACCACUCGUGCUGGCGAAACGUCAGGAAUGAAUUCAAUUCAACAAACGUCCACCAAUAAACCCGAAACAAUUAUUACUAAAGCCUCAACCUUUACAUUUUUAGAUACGUUAAGCAAAUCGAACAAGUAUUCACAGUCGGCUUCUUGGCCCAAUUUUUGGGAAGCACUUUUGUUAUUUGCAACACCGGAUUCCAUCUUCUAUUGGUGACAUUGGACAAAUAAAAAGGCGUAACAAGUUUUCUUAUUCAUUUUCGUUAUAUUAUAGAUUCCAUGGGUUUCGAUGCAAUUCCUCACUUUACUGUUGUAUUUUGCUGCAAUGAUGACUGAGUUGACGAUGAUAUGUUGGUUUGGGAACGAAGUCAUACUGAAGAGUUUAAAAGUGUGUGAUUCUUGUUACAUGUUACACUGGUACAAUUAUGGCCAUAAAGUUGGAAAGAUUCUAUUCAUUAUUAUGGAAAGAUCCAAACGACCAUUAUCUAUAAGUACUUAUAAAUUUUCCACUUUAUCUUUGACCGCCUUUACAUCAAUAAUGCAUUGGUCCUAUUCAUACUUUACCUUGUUGAGGAAACUUUAUAGAAAAUACUGAAUACCCAGAAUAUCCAACCUACACCGUCAUCAUUCAGAAUGAAUUUUAAUAUAAUUAUUUAUGUGCACCUGUUUUUAAUAAAAAUAUACAAACUUGUUGUACGUUGUAUUUUUAUUUCUCAGAACUAAAAUAUUAGUUAAUUUUGUGCACCGUUUUGUUUACACGAUAACAUUAUAAUAACUUAUUAACAAUGCAAAUUAUGAAUAUUUGUGAAUGUUGUACUACAUAUACAUAUGUACAUAUGUGUAUAUAAAUUAUAAUAUAUUAUAUACAUAGUACAACUUACUUAUUAAA